UUUUUUUACAGGAGGGUCCUGCAGACUGAACUUGGGAAUUUCACCAGAAGCAGCAAAAGAAAACACACCCAGAAGGAAUCCCAGCUGGUUACCUGGAAACCAAUGACUUGCAGCUCAUUAUGAAGAUCGUCCAGAACUCUCCUGCCAUCGAAGAUAAACGCUGGUUUCAGCAUCUUCUUGUGAAUACGGUCAUAGUCCAGGUCCUGUAGAGCACAGAGAAAAUAAGUAACACAUUCUGUUUGUAUCUUUAAAGAUACAAGAACUAAAAUAAAGCCCUCACACACAGCAAAAGUCACCCACUUUUUACCUUAAACAUGUCCCAUUCAGUGCAGAUAACAAGGGCGUGAGCUCCAUCACAGGCUUCAUAUGGAUCUUUACUUAUAGUGACCAGUCGAGACACUGCAAUAGAAGGAAGAGCAAGUUUCUUUCUGCAUAGGUCUAUCUCCAAGCACUCCUGGAGAGGCAGUCUCCUUCCUUACUCUGC